rnacentral:rRNA from 1 species
UACAGAGGGUGCAAGCGUUAAUCGGAAUUACUGGGCGUAAAGCGAGCGUAGUCGGUUAUUUAAGUCGGGUGUGAAAGCCCCGGGCUCAACCUGGGAAUUGCAUUGGAUACUGGCAGGCUAGAGUGCGGUAGAGGAUGGCGGAAUUCCCGGUGUAGCAGUGAAAUGCGUAGAGAUCGGGAGGAACAUCUGUGGCGAAGGCGGCCAUCUGGACCAGCACUGACACUGAGGCACGAAAGCGUGGGGAGCAAACAGG